rnacentral:lncRNA from 1 species
GUAUUUGCUCUCUUUCCUUGGCACAUCAUGUGGAAUGACUGCCCAGAUAUCCAAAACAUCAUUCACUGUUAAAUCCAGGAAACAUCCUUGGAUUUGGAAAUUAUGGAAGGAGAAAUUAUUAUUGGAACUGUACUGAACCUUUAGCUCAAUUAAGUUCAAAACAGAUACAAAGCUAUGAGCAUGUAUAUGCAGAGGUAGAUCAACCUGGAAGCUACUACAAUAGUCCAGGUGAGACAUCAAGAGGACAACUGAGGAAAUAAAGUGGACAUGGAGAAGAGGGAGAAGAUUCAACUAUUUAUACAGUUUGAUGAGGCAGGAUACCAUGCUGUGGAGACCCAUUUGGCAAGAAACUAAAGGCAGCCACCAUCCAAAUGCUAGGAAAAAGCUACAGCUUUCUGUCUGAUGGCAAAGGAGACACUGAAUCCAGUCAACAAUAACAGGAGUUUGAUGGAAGAUCCAUUCCCCAGUGGAGCCUCAGAUAACACCUCAAGUCUGGCCAACAUUCUGACUGUAAACUUAUGAGAGACCCUGAAGCAGAGAAUUCAGCUAAUCCAUGCCUGGGUUUCUGACUCUCAAAAAUUCUGAGAUAAUAAAUGCAUGUUGU